rnacentral:rRNA from 1 species
AGCGAACGCUGGCGGCAGGAUUAACACAUGCAAGUCGAGCGGGCAUCUUCGGAUGUCAGCGGCAGACGGGUGAGUAACACGGGGGAACGUACCCUUCGGUUCGGAACAACUCUGGGAAACUGGAGCUAAUACCGGAUACGCCCUUAUGGGGAAAGGUUUACUGCCGCAGGAUCGGCCCGCGUCUGAUUAGCUGGUUGGUGGGGUAACGGCCUACCAAGGCGACGAUCAGUAGCUGGUCUGAGAGGAUGAUCAGCCACACUGGGACUGAGGCACGGCCCAGACUCCUACGGGAGGCAGCAGUGGGGAAUAUUGGACAAUGGGCGCAAGCCUAAUCCAGCCAUGCCGCGUGAGUGAUGAAGGCCUUAGGGUUGUAAAGCUCUUUUGUCCGGGACGAUAAUGACGGUACCGGAAGAAUAAGCCCCGGCUAACUUCGUA